CCUACGGGUGGCAGCAGUGAGGAAUAUUGGUCAAUGGGCGGAAGCCUGAACCAGCCAAGUAGCGUGCAGGAUGACGGCCCUACGGGUUGUAAACUUCUUUUAUACGGGAAUAACGCGCCUUACGUGUAGGGCUUUGCAUGUACCUUAUGAAUAAGGACCGGCUAAUUCCGUGCCAGCAGCCGCGGUAAUACGGAAGGUCCGGGCGUUAUCCGGAUUUAUUGGGUUUAAAGGGAGCGUAGGCCGCAUGUUAAGUGAGCUGUGAAAUUUUGGGGCUCAACCCGGAACUUGCAGUGGAUACUGGCGGGCUUGAGUCCACGGGAGGCAGGCGGAAUUCGUGGUGUAGCGGUGAAAUGCUUAGAUAUGACGAAGAACCCCGAUUGCGAAGGCAGCUUACUGAAGCGGAACUGACGCUGAUGCUCGAAAGCGCGGGUAUCGAACAGGAUUAGAUACCCGAGUAGUC
rnacentral:rRNA from 1 species